rnacentral:rRNA from 1 species
AUGAACGCUGGCGGCGUGCUUAACACAUGCAAGUCGAACGAUGAAGCCCAGCUUGCUGGGUGGAUUAGUGGCGAACGGGUGAGUAACACGUGAGUAACCUGCCCUUAACUCUGGGAUAAGCCUGGGAAACUGGGUCUAAUACCGGAUAGGAGCGUCCACCGCAUGGUGGGUGUUGGAAAGAUUUAUCGGUUUUGGAUGGACUCGCGGCCUAUCAGCUUGUUGGUGAGGUAAUGGCUCACCAAGGCGACGACGGGUAGCCGGCCUGAGAGGGUGACCGGCCACACUGGGACUGAGACACGGCCCAGACUCCUACGGGAAGCAGCAGUGGGGAAUAUUGCACAAUGGGCGCAAGCCUGAUGCAGCGACGCCGCGUGAGGGAUGACGGCCUUCGGGUUGUAAACCUCUUUCAGUAGGGAAGAAGCGAAAGUGACGGUACCUGCAGAAGAAGCACCGGCUAACUACGUG